rnacentral:rRNA from 1 species
GGGCCCGCACAAGCAGUGGAGCAUGGGGUUUAAUUCGAUGCAACGCGAAAAACCUUACCUACCCUUGACAUCCUUGGAAUUCUCUGGAGACAGAGAAGUGCCUUCGGGAGCCAAGUGACAGGUGCUGCAUGGCUGUCGUCAGCUCGUGUCGUGAGAUGUUGGGUUAAGUCCCGCAACGAGCGCAACCCUUAUCCUUAGUUGCCAGCACAUAAUGGUGGGGACUCUAAGGAAACUGCCGGUAAUAAGCCGGAGGAAGGUGAGGACGACGUCAAGUCAUCAUGGUCCUUAUGGGUAGGGCUACACCCGUGCUACAAUGGUCGAUACAAUAGGUUGCCACUCCGCGAGGAGGCGCUAAUCCUCAAAGUCGAUCUCAGUCCGGAUUGAAUUCUGCAACUCGAAUUCAUGAAGUCGGAAUUGCUAG